rnacentral:lncRNA from 1 species
CCUUCGAACACCACGGACACAAACACACUCAGACCUGACCUGACAGAGCUUCAUUAAUAUCCUCAAAAAAGCGCGACUGCAGGAAUCGACUGCCUCUGCAUGCAGCAACUGUGCAGCCGCAGCCUGAAGUCCUGUGUGUGGUGCUUGAGGGUGAGAUUAAAAUAAACAUGUAUCAUAAAGUAACUCAGUGAUGUAAAUUAAUCAUCUACUUUAUCUGUGUUUGCUGCAGUGAUGGCAUCCACAGAUGUGACCGUGAAGGAGCAGACAGAGGAUGGGGACACAGCUCUGACGUUGGCGGUGGAACGGCUGGGUGGAGAACGUCAGAAUGCUGCUGCAGCACGGAGCAUCUCCUCACAACACUAACAGCAGAAAGGAGUCCCCUCUGCUGCUGGAGCCCUGAGGACCCUCAUCCCCAUCACCACACUGAAGGCCAUCCGUCUGUCAGGCCAGAGUCCAGUGCACUGUGCAGCAGACAGAGGUCAGGUUAAAAGUCUGGAGCUGCUUAUUGGACAAGCUUCUGUUUAUAGAACUACAGAAUAAAAACAUUGGAUGUGUUGCUACC